AAAAAACAUUAGAACUUCCUGUAGAGGUUCAGUUAGUUUACUUUUUUUUUUUUUGCCAAGCUCAGUAUGUAGAUGGUUACCAAAUCCUUUGAAAUUUACCAUAAUUUUUUUUUUUUACAGGGUACAAGUUGGAAGAAAGCUCUGAUAUACAAUUAUGUGCUAGAGUUACUUGUUGUAACUUAACAGGAAAAUGAAGCAGACUUUUUGUUACAAACAGACACCGUGUGGCUACACAUAUCUUUUUAUACAGAGGUCAUAAAAAACACAGUUUUAAAAUUCUAAAAAUUUUCCAUUGAACUUUUUCCGAGAAGAAUAAUUUGAAAUUUUCCAUCUACCAUUACCAUUGUACCAUUUAAAAUGAGAUUUCAGAAAUAUGCCAUGAGGCCCAAACAAAUUUCCACAAAUCCCAGGGACGACCCAUGUAGAAUGAGUAAGCCAGUCAGCUGACUGGAAGAAGGCUUUUCUUAUACUUACAGAAAAAAACUAAACGCCUGUUUCGAAAUAUUCCCGACAAUACGGACAGUCAUGGUGUUGUAAUUAAAGGAGGAGAAUCUGUUUUUCUUAUUCUGGUAAACCUGAAUAUGGGGGAGUUUGAUUUGCAUUCUCUUUUCAAUAAAAGUCAUCAGGUAAUUGUAAAUACAUUGGUGUAAAAUCUUUAUGUUAUGCUCACAAUACCCUGAAACUGAUAUUUUUACCAUGAGAAGUUUAUAGCAGCCCUUGUGAACAAUCAAUAAUUAUAUUUAGACCAGAAGACAUCACACUUUGUAUUUAAGAGAGCUUAAUUGUAAAACUCUGCAGUGGUUUACAGUAAAAACAAAGUUCAAUGUGCUAAGGUUAUGUAGGUAAUACUUUAAAUUGUCUUUAGCAUCGUAUUUUAAUGCCCACCAUUGCUAGUGCUGUUAGCAUUAGUAACUGGAGACAUUAGCGUGUAUUUCCUGUAGAGUGUAAAAUUUCCAAAAGUUUGCCAACUAUUCCACCAAGUUCCCCCGGCAAGCAUAGUUGGGCUUUUUAAAAGGGUCAAUCGGUGUAUUUUUGCUGUAAUACGUCAGUUUCCUGUUGUUUACUGAAAUGCUCCCAGCCCCCAAACUUUGAAAGUAUUUGCAUGAAUGAACAGCCCGCAUGCCUCUGCAGAAAAUGUUUUCCUUCCUAGGAGCUUGUUUCUCCUGUUGUGCUUCCUCUGACGACAUUUUGAAGCAUCUUAAACGACACUGACAAAAACCGCCAGCAAAAUCCUUUUCCCUCAUUAUCAACAUCCACACAGAAGAGUGUUAUAAGUGUGACCUGUUUGGGGGUUAGGUGUUGUGUGUUAACUUGUAGAAAAACGUAUAGAAAAUUUGAGUUUUAGCUUCCAACUAACAACACCAAUAAGAGCCAGUCAAACAAAAAAACUCUGCCCGUUCUAGUCACCAGCCGAUUUCUCGCUACAUCUUUUUUUUUUUUUUUUAGAAAUAUAAAAUGUUUUAGAAUUUUAAUAAGAAAUAGGAAAAAAACUUUAAAAAAUGCAUUCUUGGGUUUCUCCUUCUACUUUUUACUUCCUACAACGAAAUUUGAAUAUGCCAGGAACUAAAGUGAUGUUAAAAGGGGCUGUUCCAGGUCUUUAGAUGCAUGGGGAAGACAGAAAGGAAAUGGGCUCAGUGACCUUUGCAAGUGUUUUCCCCAGUGUUCAAACACCAGCAUGAAAGCCCGGCUUGUUUCAGCCAUCUAGCACAAAAUGUCAAUUGCAACUUAUCCCCCAAGCCUAGGGACAAGGUUUGAAAGUGGAUGCUGGCGUCACGGCGCAUCAAUAGCAAGGGGAACUCUUUGGGGUCUCUGUACCGCCUUUUUUUUCAGAAUAUAUAGCCCUAAUGGGUCCUGCUCCAAAACAAUGAGUCUUGACACGUUUCAGGCAUGUAUAGGAUCCAGGAAAUGUGCAUAGACGUGUAGCCAAGCAUGGCGUAGGGAACUACGUGAUAGUUUCCCAACUAUCUGGAAUCCCCUUUUGGUACAGAACAAGGAAAUCCAGUGAAUAAAUCUAAGAGGGAUUUUUCUGAGGAAGAACAUAUCAAGUCCAGACUAGUUGCUUGUACUUAAGGUAGGCAUGUGAGGAGGAUGAGGAAAUCAGCUUUUUUUUUCCCCUCAUUACUGGCUGAACAAUAGGACUCUAUGAAGAAGUUGCUACAUCACUAUCAUGUUUGACUUUCUCUGAACAGCAAAUAAAGUUAUUUGAGACCUAGUUUUUCCAUACAGUUUGGUAGAAAUCCAUCUGAGUAUGUGCAUUUUUACAUUCAUCCCUGCAGCUAUUGCUCAAAGAACUGCCGUAAUCUUUUGGAAACAUUAUGUCAGCAUCUCUUACAUGACUGUACUGUUAAACACCCACGAGGGUAUGAGCAGACUUUCCAGUUCCCUAUUGUGUAAAUACAUUUUUGCAUUGAAUGCCACUCAACAAGUAUAUUACAUAGGGUUGUCCUAGCACAGUUUCUGUUUGCAGAAACUGACCGACAAACUUCCAGUGUGUCCGCUUCGUCAUCUCCUCUCAUCUUGACAGCUGUUCUGUGGCCUGUGGGGGAAUUCCUGGUUCCUCGAGUAGACACAGCCUUUCCCCUGCUUACUUUAUGGGAACAGGGGGCAGGGCAAGUCAGAUGGUUUUCCUCAGAAACUAUUAUGUGUUGAUUCACGGUGAGGGGGCGUGCUGUUCACACCCACUGCUUCCUUCUUACUGGGAAGUGACUGUCAGGCUUACCGUACAGAGGGAGUGUAUGAAAAACAGAGAGGAGGGAGGUUUGAUGGGUGAAGUGAAAGGUCCGUAUUUAAGCACAUUUGCUGCGAAUGACAGGCACUGGGUUUCAUAUUUUCUCGGGAGUUGGAGGUUCAUGACAGGGAGAGCUGGAAAGGCAGGUGAACAAACAAGGACUCCUGAAGUGUAUGUAUACACAUGGAAAAAUCCUGGCUUUAAUGAAGAAGUACUUUUCUGAUACAGCCAGGAUCUGGGAAGAUAUUCUUCAGACAGGUUUGCCGUUUGAGGAUCAGGACACCUCUGAGGACGCCGUGCUGAUAAGUGCUCCGCUGUGAGAACUGAAUUCCAUAGAUGGUGACAUGUAAAGAUGUCAUCUAUGGAUCCAGUUCUUUUGGCUUGGUACUGGUUUGUCGAGCACAUUGUUUGGAAUCCGACAGCAGCUCUCAUGAUCAUCUAAAUCAAUUAAUACUGGUAGGCCUAUAAGUGUUGAAUUCAGACUAUUUUUGUAUUUGUGUGUUUGAACUGUAAGUCCAAGUUGUUUAAAAUUUUGAUUUAUUUUCCUGGCAGUUGGUUGGAAUUGAAUAAUAAUUGUAGAUAAUUCAUGUUUUUGUUGCAUUUCAGAAAAAUGUGUAACAUUUGUUUUUUAUUUAAUUGUAUUUCUUUUUAUUGUAUGAUGCAACGUUUUGCCUCGUAUGUGUUGUUCCUGCUUUUCCUGCGGUAUUUUGGACUGAAUUCUGUAACAAACUAUGAUUAUAAUUCGUGACAAAAGGUAAAAUAUUUAAGCAGAAAUUACAACUGAUUUAAUCUGUUGCAUUUGGUUUGCUUUCUGUCUACAAAGUUUUACAAAGUUCAUAAAGGACUCUGUAAAUACAAUGUACUAUGAGGUGUUUGUAAAUUGAAAAUUGCUCUUGCUAGCUGUUUUUGCAGAUGAAACAAUAUACACAAAAACUGUUUAAAAACAAGAGCAAUGAGAAAUGUAUGUAGUUUCUGAAAUGUAUGUAGACUGAAACGGCAAAUAUCGAUGUUCUACUCAUAAUAUCCUCCUGAAUCAGAACGUAAGGACUGCCACAUCAUGAGAUCAAAGCUGAAUGUUUCACAUUGAAAGGUUAUUAAUUGUAGUUUCACCUUAUUAUUCACUUCCACCCACAAAGAGGUUAGGCCUGCUCUUACAAAAAGAGUGGUUGUUACAGUUUCAGCUGUUGCCAUUUACUACACAGACUUCUCUCAGGGCAUUUGAGUCAUAGGAAUUGUGACCUUUUUGUUUAAUCGUGUGUACAUCUCUGUAACCUUACACAAUUUUCUAUCAUUCUGAUCAAAGUUUAAACAAAAUCAGAGGUGGAGACAGUGACUGUUCAGCUUGAAUACAGUUUAUUUCACACAAAUCGAGCUACGCUGUAGGCGCACGUCAGCCAUGGGGGUUGUACCCUGUGCUUGAAUACCCUAUUUAUCAUGUGGCAUAGGAAAUGUGGUUUCUCUUGUACCACUGCAAGCAUAAUCAAUGCAUAAUGGAAACACACCAAACUCAUUAUUAAAUAACCUGUAAAAAAUUAACAAAAACUUAACAUUAACUACCAGAUUAGCUGGUAGUAACUCAGUGUUUCAUUUACACAAAGUUUAAUUGAUAUUGUCAGAUGUAAAAGAGUCUGUGAAACACGUACACCACAAUCAACUCUGAUCAAGGAAGGAAGGGUGUGAAAUAACUUCUUUAACUUAUGUAUGUGUUAAUUUUGUUCCUGUGACUUGAGAUUUUUUAAAUAAAAUAUUU